rnacentral:lncRNA from 1 species
UGAAUCAUGAGCUUAGAUAGUAUCUGACGGAAAAUGAGGAGGGAUGCUAUCCCAAACUGGCUAGAGGAAAAUGUCCUGACUGAAGUUUCCGUAGCAGUCACUCGUACUCUCAUUCAUAGGAGGAAAUUUGCCCCUAAUGGAGUAAACAUCAUGAUUAUCACCCAUGGACUCAACAGUCCCCUCACCCCUGAAUUUUCCUAAAAUUGUAUGCAGUGAAGUGACCGUCCAGUUUGCCACGAAGAAAGAAGAGGAAAGGAGACUACACUACCUUCUCUUGUACAAAUGAGCAUGCCCAUUCACAGCAGCAUUCUAAUAAAGGAGAGUGAAACCGGG